rnacentral:rRNA from 1 species
UACAGGGGGUGCAAACGUUGCUCGGAAUUAUUGGGCGUAAAGCGCGCGUAGGCGGCUACUUAAGUCGGAUGUGAAAGCCCUUGGCUCAACUGAGGAAGUGCACCCGAAACUGAGUGGCUAGAGUACGAAAGAGGGUCGCGGAAUUCCCGGUGUAGAGGUGAAAUUCGUAGAUAUUGGGAAGAACACCGGUGGCGAAGGCGGCUCACUGGCUCGUAUCUGACGCUCAGGCGCGAUAGCGUGGGGAUCAAACAGG